rnacentral:misc_RNA from 1 species
GAUGAAGAACGUAGCGAAAUGCGAUAAGUAAUGUGAAUUGCAGAAUUCAGUGAAUCAUCGAAUCUUUGAACGCACAUUGCGCCCGCCAGUAUUCUGGCGGGCAUGCCUGUCUGAGCGUCAUUUCAACCCUCAAGCAACUUCUGCUUGGUGUUGGGGAUCGGCCGUCAAACGCCGCCCCCGAUAUCUAUUGGCGAUCUCGCUGUAGCUUCCUAUGCGUAGUAGUAACAUCUCGCAUCUGGAGAGCGGCGCGGUCAUGCCGUAAAACACCCAACUUCUCAGGUUGACCUCAAAUCAGGUAGGAAUACCCGCUGAACUUAAGCAUAUCAAUAAGCGGAGGA